GUGUGUGUGUGUGUGUGUGUGUGUGUGUGUGUGUAUAUAUAUAUAUAUAUGUGUGUGUGUGUGUGUAUAUAUAUAUAUAUAUACACACACACACACACACACACACACAC
rnacentral:miRNA from 1 species